GUUUACGCUCCCUACCGAAUUAAACUAGGAAUACAAAAUGCUGCUCACAUGUUUAUUAGCUUUGGAAAGCGAAUUAAUGUCCAAAUCGGGAAUAUAAGACCUGUGCAAUGUUGUGCGCAAUUUUUCCAACAGCAUGACACUUAUUUGGAGUCUGUGGCUCAAGUGGUUUGAAAGCGCGAAUAUCCAACUUGAAACUGUUUUUACCUCGGUUAAGUAAUUUACGUAUCGGCUAAUCACAUAAUGUGUUAUAGCAAUCUGUCAGCCGAUGAGAGAGGGGUUUCGCUUUCUCAACCUUUUCUUUAUGUCUAAAAAUCAGUCUGAUCCUAUGACUUUCAUGAUAGAUAGGAUUUCCUGUAUUGUAUAAUGUUUUCACUGAACGAUUUAGCAAGAAAAACGUCAGCCUGGAGAAAAAUGUCAAUAUGCCAAACAUGUUUUUUUCCACAUUGCUUUUACAAGAAAGACCUCCCCCUAACAACUUCUCCAGUUCCCAACGCUUUGCCAAGCUGUAUAUCUUUGUAGUACAGCACGUUGGUCAGCCUAAAUGAACCACACUUUAAUAUUUUUUUUCUGAGGAUACAAACUCAUGGUAUAGUGGGUUAGCUGACAACGUUACGAAAACGAAGCGCACUCUUCAAUGGGGCAUGACAGUCUUGAGUUGUGAUUCUGGAUGGCCAAAUAGCUACCAACAACCAUGUGAGGAAUUUUGCACACGCUUUGGUUUUGUUGCUAAACAACCAACUAUGUCUAUGGGCAAACCCAACAACUAUCCCGACCAGAAACUACUGAGGCUGACUAUAGACCAACACCUCACCACAGCAUAUUUUAUUGGAGUAACAUCAUGUUGGUUUUCCUGCUAUGGGCUUCACUGUUCCUCUCAAGCCUCCAAGAACAAAAUGGUCAAGAUGCUCCAGGUGUCCUGCUUUCUGGACCUCAGAAUGUGAGUGUGAAUUAUGACCUAAAAGACCAGAGGAUAUCUGUAACAUGGGAAGAUGACCCAUCUUCCUCCAGAGUACCGGACAAACUGAUUUAUGAUGUGGAGGUUCUCUUAACAGUCAAUAUGACUGAAGUACACAGUGAAGCUGUGGAUGUGAGACAAGCCCUCGCCAGCAGGAAAUACCACUGGAGUUGGACCUCGGCUUUACCCCUAGAGUGCACCUCCCACUCAGUCAGACUCCGCUCCCGAUACCAGAACUACACCAGUCAAUGGAGCCCCCUACUGACCAUCACUGGGAGGGCCUCAUCACAUCCACAGGUUUUUCCAAAAAGCAGCGUGGUUCAGGUCGAUAGCAACUUUACUUUCUGCUGUAUUCUUGGGCCAGGGCAGAGACUUGAAUACAUGAAAUACAACAACAUUCUAAUGAACACCACCCACAUCAUUGACCAGAGUUAUGCCAUGGUGGUGCAUAUGCAGUCUCCCUCUCCGCCCAGUUGCAUCAAUGUCUAUUGUAAUUCACCUCUGUAUGGCACCUGUGUUUACGUGGGAUACCCCCCUGGGGACAGGAACCUUGUGUGUGAGACCCGGGACCUGGAGUCAGUGGAGUGUCACUGGGACACAGGGAGGGCCACCAACCUGACUAAACAGAGGAUGACUCGUUAUGACCUGAAUGGAAGAGCUUGUCCAAACAGAACAAACUGCUACCAAACAGUACGAGUGGAUCAGGGGGAGAGGAAUUGGACAUUGACUGCCAGAAACCCGCUCGGCACACUGGAGCUCAGAGACACAGCAGACCUGAAGAAAAGAGUGCGUUUACUAGCUCCCAUGGAAGUGGUGGCUUCAGGUGUGAAUGCCAGUGUUCAGUGGCAGUGGGAAAGACCGCAGUACCAUAUACUAUUAAUGGUUUGCCAAGUACAGCUGAACCAUAGUGGGCACAUAGACGUGAGGAACUUUUCUGGCAUAGGUCUUAGGUCAGUAGUUUUACAUGGCCUAGCACCUGCCCAGACAUACACAGUGCAGGUGUGUUGUGGAUUGAAACAGCACUUCUGGAAAUGGGGUGACUGGAGCAAAGGUAGCACCUUCAAAACCGAGGAGGACAUUCCUGAAAUGUUAGAUGUAUGGAUGCAGAUUGAAGGGAACCAAACCAUGAUACUAUGGAAACCCCUUACAGUGAAUCAGAGUCAUGGGCAGAUCAAGGACUAUGAGGUGACCUGGGGAAGGCAGGAGACAAUUCUCCAUCCACCUCAGAAUGACUUUCUCAUCAGUGAUCGAUCCACUGAUGAGGGGCAUAGGGUCACAGUUACAGCCAAAAACUCUGCUGGCAGCUCCCUUCCCUCGAUCAUCAUUAUUCCUAGACUUCCUCACAGAAGUAAAAGCUCCAUGAAAAUUGUUGGCAGUGAUGGUGGGUUUAACCUAUCCUGGUCCGCUAGCCCCAAUUCUAGCUGUGGCUACGUGGUGGACUGGUGUCCCACACAUAAAAAAUGCAGAGUGGAGUGGGUGAAGGUACCAGCUGGUAUAACCAGGGCCAGAAUCCAAUCAGCUAGCUUUGAAGAGGGGGUGAGGUACACACUCUCCAUCUUUGCCUGUACUCCAGGGGCUCCAGAGCUAUGGGAGAGAAGGGAGGGCUAUGUAAAAGAGUGCCUUCCAAAAGAACCGAUUCAGAGGUUGGCUGCAGAACAGCAUGGUUUGGACACAGUUCUGAUCUCCUGGACUGCUAUUCCCCCGGAGAAUCAGACGGCGUUCAUUCAUGGUUACAUCAUAUACUACUUGGAUACUUCCCAUCCUUCCAGCACAAGAACUUUCAAUGUCACUACAGUUGAGCCUGGGGCCAAGAAUCUGACAGGCAUACCCGUCAGCUCCUACAGAUUCAUAGUGAAGGCCCUCACAUCAGUAGGGGAGGGCGGAGACUCUUCACCAGUCUUCCUCCAGAUGAACCCCCAGACUGAUCAGUUGAUCACAGUGAUGAUCAUUUCCCUGGGUUCAGCUGCCUGUCUCCUCGCUCUGGUCACCAUCUUAUGCUACAGAAACUGGAAAUGUGUGAAAGAGAACCUGUAUCCUAAAAUUCCAAAGCCAGUAUGGAAGGAGGAAUGGUUGACACCACUGGAGAGCAAUGGCCGCCAAAUCCUCUAUGUGGAUCCAUGUCAACCCAGUGAGAUUGAUAUAGUGUGUAACCGAGAGCAGUCUGGAGAAGCUGUACUAGAUAACAAUGCUGGAAAGGGUGCCUUAACCAACACAAACUCCGAUGUCCCAGCUCUGCAUGUAUACUACAACCAGCUCCUCACCAAGACCACUUUAGGACACUUCACCUUCUCUCCUCACACGAUGGCGACCCCAUUCUCUCAACUCUCAGGCACAGUAAUUCAGAACCCCUCAUACAACCUAGAAGUACAGGCUAGUUUAGAUAUGGGACAGUCUGUGGGAUAUGAGCCGGAUAUGAACUCUUUCUCCUGUCCUAACCCUGAACUACACAACACCAUGUCUUAUGUGCCCUUUGAGACUGAUUCCCGGGGUUACAAGUUCCAGUGUCACAUAGAAGACAGCUCUCCUCUCCAGGAGUAGAGCUUCUGGGCAGCCCUAUUUCCUUCAGCUCCACUCAAUUCAUAUUUUUGUUCCAGCACAAACACAGCUAAGACCACCAAUUAAGAUUUUGAUUGGGCCAUGAUUGCACUGCUGGAAAUAAAAGUGGCUUAUCAAACAGAAAUAAUGAACUGCUGUACCUGUAUUUAUUUAAAUGCACUUCUCUCUGAUGACUUGAUAUGUUGCUUUAUGUGAAAUAUUUAGAUGACAGCGGAAAUGUUUUGAUAGAUACAGGAUGAGUACUUAUGUAACAGUAAGUGUUGCUUCUGUCUUUCUCUUCGCCCAAACCAGGGACCUUCUGCACACAUCAACAACAGUCUCCCUCGAAGCACCGUUACCCCUUACAGUGCAAGGGGAGCAACUACUUCUAGUCUCAGAGCGAGUGACGUCACCGAUCGAAACGCUAGCGCUCACCCAACUAAUUUUAACUAGCUAUUUCACACCGGCUUUUUUGCUGGCAGCAUAUAGAAGCACGUUCGAUUGUGCGUCAAGAAUUCAGCAUAGCAAAUUUGUAUGAAGGUCUGGUUAUUAAAUGGGUAAAUAGUUCAAUUGUAAUAUGGUCUAAAACGCUCUGGUGACAAACUUUUACAAUUAUCAAACGUUUCCAAUUAUCGACAUGGCUGGGAGAACCUAUUCAAGUAAGUAAGGUAAAUACAUUUCGAAAAUGUAAAACAAAUAAAAAUUGUUACAGUGCAGGCUAACUCAAAUGAGCUAGCUAGUUGGCUAGCUAGACAUACUGUUAAGCGAAUUAAAUGUCACCAGUUAACGUUACCCAACUUCAUAUUAGUUGGGCUACGUUACCCAACUUCAUAUUAGUUGGGCUAUCUUGAUGUAUUUAUCACAAAAAAAAACUCAAAAUGCCAUGGAGGAGGGUGAAAGGAUCAUUUUUAGCAGCCCCAACUUUCAAAGUGAGAGAGUAGGUUAUUCUGGAUAGGGCAGGUUAUUUUGUGUAGUUCUAGUCCCUAGAAGUGAGGACGGAGGUAAAAGUAACAUAAUAUUCAGUGCAGUGUAAUUUCAGUAUAAUGAAGUCUGUUUCUUGUGAGUUUUUCUGUCCUCAGAUGAAGAGAGCUCUGAAAGCCUGUCUACGGAUGAAGAGGUCCCAAUGAAGAGCAGUGGUUCUCAGUCCUGGUCCUGGGGACUCAAAGGGAUAUCUUGUAAAUGGAGAUUCCUUCAAAACGAUUGCCUACAGUUACCGUGUAGGGAACUGCAAGGUUGAGUGACCAGGGCCAUCUGGGACUGCCUCCUGGAGGAAUUCAGGUGUGUGAAGGCUACCUGUGUCCUGCGUAACUUCAUGAGGAUGGACACGAGGACCAGGAAGGGAUCUGCAGCUCGCCGGUGUGUGCCAGAGGAGAAGUCUGGUGCCCUGCAGGAUGUUUCAAGGAUGGGGUCCAACAACGCAGCAAGAGAGGCAUUCCAUGUGCGGGAGAUCUUCACCUACUUCUUUGAAGAGGGUUCUGUUCCCUGGCAACACCAUAAACUACACUGCACAACCAAAGGCUCUUUUAAGAGCCAUCCACAUUGCAAUAAGAGUAUUCUUCCAUUUACUUAGCUAUGUCAACUGCAGUUAUUCAAUUCCCAGUUUCUCUCUUUGAUUUCUACUUCUCAGGUGAUGGUGCUGUUUAGGUAAGGGUGUGAUGUCUGUACAAAAACAAAACAGGCUAUUUUAAGUAAUCCAUAUUGAAAAAAGUUUCAACAAUUAGACACCCUAUAACCCACACAUGUAUCAGUAUGAUUGAUGGAUUGCGUUGUGCAGUAAGCAGGCUCAGGUGUAUAACUGUGGCUCCUUCCACCUUAAAAGUAUAGACAAGAGGGCCAACCAUCGAGAAUAGUAAGACAAUUCAUUAUUUCUAGAAAUUGUUUGUCCAUGUUUUUCAGCAUAAAGUACUCUGCAGCCACCUAGUGUGGGCACCAGGUUAUAUCAGCUGUGUCAGUGAACCCCUCCCGCAUCUGAACUGGCUACUUAGAGGGCACAGCAUGAUCAGAGGUAUGUUUUGAUGUGAGAGAGGAUGCCAACCCCCAGUCCCGUCAUCGCCACCUCACCCUCUCUAAAGAUAACCUUUGGGCUGACUGGGAGCCCAAGGCUGGUUAGGAGACACUAUUGUUUAAUUGUGAUUAACUGAGAGAAAAUUAUGGUAGCACUGUGAUUCAUUAAUCAUAUGCUGCCUUCCCAGCUCCUAUGUUCUUACCUCUUUCCCUUUUACACCUCUCUCACCACCUAUUUCUUCCUCUGUUUUUAUAAUGCACAACAGAUGUGCAUUGAACUACAGAUUGAACAUGUAUUUAUAAUAUUACAAUUAUGUUUAUAACACUUGGACAAUUAACUUCUUUCAAUAAAGGGUUUCACAUUU